rnacentral:tRNA from 1 species
UCCUCCUUAGCUCAAUGGUAGAGCGAGCGGCUGUUAACCGCUAGGUUGCUGGUUCGAGUCCAGCAGGAGGAG